rnacentral:piRNA from 1 species
UGGAAAAAAGGUGAAUCUGAAAAAG